CGAUGAUGCCCAGCUUGCUGGGCGGAUUAGUGGCGAACGGGUGAGUAAUACGUGAGUAACCUGCCCUUGACUCUGGGAUAAGCCUGGGAAACUGGGUCUAAUACUGGAUACUACCUCUUGCCGCAUGGUGGGUGGUGGAAAGGGUUUUACUGGUUUUGGAUGGGCUCACGGCCUAUCAGCUUGUUGGUGGGGUAAUGGCUCACCAAGGCGACGACGGGUAGCCGGCCUGAGAGGGUGACCGGCCACACUGGGACUGAGACACGGCCCAGACUCCUACGGGAGGCAGCAGUGGGGAAUAUUGCACAAUGGGCGGAAGCCUGAUGCAGCGACGCCGCGUGAGGGAUGACGGCCUUCGGGUUGUAAACCUCUUUCAGUAGGGAAGAAGCGAGAGUGACGGUACCUGCAGAAGAAGCGCCGGCUAACUACGUGCCAGCAGCCGCGGUAAUACGUAGGGCGCAAGCGUUGUCCGGAAUUAUUGGGCGUAAAGAGCUCGUAGGCGGUUUGUCGCGUCUGCUGUGAAAGCCCGGGGCUCAACCCCGGGUCUGCAGUGGGUACGGGCAGACUAGAGUGCAGUAGGGGAGACUGGAAUUCCUGGUGUAGCGGUGAAAUGCGCAGAUAUCAGGAGGAACACCGAUGGCGAAAGCAGGUCUCUGGGCUGUUACUGACGCUGAGGAGCGAAAGCAUGGGGAGCGAACAGGAUUAGAUACCCUGGUAGUCCAUGCCGUAAACGUUGGGCACUAGGUGUGGGGGACAUUCCACGUUUUCCGCGCCGUAGCUAACGCAUUAAGUGCCCCGCCUGGGGAGUACGGCCGCAAGGCUAAAACUCAAAGGAAUUGACGGGGGCCCGCACAAGCGGCGGAGCAUGCGGAUUAAUUCGAUGCAACGCGAAGAACCUUACCAAGGCUUGACAUUCACCGGACCGCCCCAGAGAUGGGGUUUCCCUUCGGGGCUGGUGGACAGGUGGUGCAUGGUUGUCGUCAGCUCGUGUCGUGAGAUGUUGGGUUAAGUCCCGCAACGAGCGCAACCCUCGUUCUAUGUUGCCAGCACGUGAUGGUGGGGACUCAUAGGAGACUGCCGGGGUCAACUCGGAGGAGGUGGGGAUGACGUCAAAUCAUCAUGCCCCUUAUGUCUUGGGCUUCACGCAUGCUACAAUGGCCGGUACAAAGGGUUGCGAUACUGUGAGGUGGAGCUAAUCCCAAAAAG
rnacentral:rRNA from 1 species